UGCGUAGGGUGCAAGCGUUAUCCGGAAUUAUUGGGCGUAAAGAGCUCGUAGGCGGUGUGUCACGUCGGCCGUGAAAACCUGCAGCUUAACUGUGGGCGUGCGGUCGAUACGGGCAUCACUGGAGUUCGGCAGGGGAGACUGGAAUUCCUGGUGUAGCGGUGAAAUGCGCAGAUAUCAGGAGGAACACCAAUGGCGAAGGCAGAUCUCUGGGCCGUAACUGACGCUGAGGAGCGAAAGCAUGGGGAGCGAACAGG
rnacentral:rRNA from 1 species